CCUACGGGAGGCAGCAGUCGAGAAUCAUUCACAAUGGGGGAAACCCUGAUGGUGCGACGCCGCGUGGGGGAAUGAAGGUCUUCGGAUUGUAAACCCCUGUCAUGUGGGAGCAAAUUAAAAAGAUAGUACCACAAGAGGAAGAGACGGCUAACUCUGUGCCAGCAGCCGCGGUAAUACAGAGGUCUCAAGCGUUGUUCGGAAUCACUGGGCGUAAAGGGUGCGUAGGCUGUUUCGUAAGUCGUGUGUGAAAGGCGCGGGCUCAACCCGCGGACGGCACAUGAUACUGCGAGACUAGAGUAAUGGAGGGGGAACCGGAAUUCGCGGUGUAGCAGUGAAAUGCGUAGAUAUCGAGAGGAACACUCGUGGCGAAGGCGGGUUCCUGGACAUUAACUGACGCUGAGGCACGAAGGCCAGGGGAGCGAAAGGGAUUAGAUACCCUUGUAGUC
rnacentral:rRNA from 1 species